rnacentral:tRNA from 1 species
GAGAGUGACGUAGAAUUGCUAACUCUGCUCCCCGUAUAUAAAAAUAUGGCUCCCUCAACUUUUAG